rnacentral:rRNA from 1 species
CAGUCGCCGCGGGAACACAGAGGGUGCAAGCGUUAAUCGGAAUUACUGGGCGUAAAGCGCGCGUAGGUGGUUUGUUAAGUUGGAUGUGAAAUCCCCGGGCUCAACCUGGGAACUGCAUCCAAAACUGGCAGGCUAGAGUAGGGCAGAGGGUGGUGGAAUUUCCUGUGUAGCGGUGAAAUGCGUAGAUAUAGGAAGGAACACCAGUGGCGAAGGCGACCACCUGGGCUCAUACUGACACUGAGGUGCGAAAGCGUGGGGAGCAAACAGGAUUAGAUACCCCUGUAGUCCCUGUCUCUUAUAC